AACGGUAACACGGAAGAAGCGUGCUUCUUUGCUGACGAGUGGCGGACGGGUGAGUAAUGUCUGGGAAACUGCCUGAUGGAGGGGGAUAACUACUGGAAACGGUAGCUAAUACCGCAUAACGUCGCAAGACCAAAGAGGGGGACCUUCGGGCCUCUUGCCAUCGGAUGUGCCCAGAUGGGAUUAGCUAGUAGGUGGGGUAACGGCUCACCUAGGCGACGAUCCCUAGCUGGUCUGAGAGGAUGACCAGCCACACUGGAACUGAGACACGGUCCAGACUCCUACGGGAGGCAGCAGUGGGGAAUAUUGCACAAUGGGCGCAAGCCUGAUGCAGCCAUGCCGCGUGUAUGAAGAAGGCCUUCGGGUUGUAAAGUACUUUCAGCGGGGAGGAAGGGAGUAAAGUUAAUACCUUUGCUCAUUGACGUUACCCGCAGAAGAAGCACCGGCUAACUCC
rnacentral:rRNA from 1 species